rnacentral:sRNA from 1 species
CACCGCCUGGGGAGUACGACCGCAAGGUUAAAACUCAAAUGAAUUGACGGGGACCCGCACAAGUAGUGGAGCAUGUGGUUUAAUUCGAAGAUACGCGCAGAACCUUACCAACACUUGACAUGUUCGUCGCGACUUUAAGAGAUUAAAGUUUUCGGUUCGGCCGGACGAAACACAGGUGCUGCAUGGCUGUCGUCAGCUCGUGUCGUGAGAUGUUGGGUUAAGUCCCGCAACGAGCGCAACCCUCACUUUUAGUUGCCAUCAUUAAGUUGGGCACUCUGAAAGAACUGCCAGUGAUAAGCUGGAGGAAGGUGGGGAUGACGUCAAGUCCUCAUGGCCCUUACGUGUUGGGCUACACACGUGCUACAAUGGUAUCUACAACAGGAAGCGAAACAGCGAUGUUAAGCAAAUCCUUAAAAGAUACCUCAGUUCGGAUUGCACUCUGCAACUCGAGUGCAUGAAGCUGGAAUUACUAGUAAUCGUGGAUCAGCGUGCCACGGUGAAUGCGUUCCCGGGUCUUGUACACACCGCCCGUCACACCAUGGGAGUUGGUUCUACCUUAAGGCAAGGUUUAACACCCUUGACCACGGUAUAGUCAGCGACUGGGGGUGAAGUCGUAACAAGGUAGCCGUAGGGGAACCUGCGGCUGGAUUACCUCCUUUCUAAGGAUGAAUAAAAGUAAAAUUUUAUUCUAAAAAAUAUACACAGGUUAAUGUUGACCGUCCUCAUUUCUCUUCUUAAUUAGUGUUUCUCUUGCAUGGGGGCCGGUAGCUCAGUUGGUUAGAGCACACCCUUGAUAAGGGUGGGGUCGAAAGUUCGAGUCUUUCUCGGCCCACCAAUUAAAAAUUAAGGGGGAUUAGCUCAGCUGGGAGAGCGCCUGAUUUGCAUUCAGGAGGUCAGCGGUUCGAUCCCGCUAUCCUCCACCAAACACUUAGUUAUAAAAUUCGUAAAUAAAAUAAUUAAUAUCAAUAUCUAUAUCCGAACAUUAAUAAUGUUAUUAGUUAAUGUUCAAAAUAAAAAUUUGAUUCAACACAGAAUUUUUUUCUG